UCCCUGGUGGCUCAGCAGGAUAAGGAUCUAGCAUUGUCACUGCUGUGGCUCAGGUUCGAUCCCUGACCGGGGAA
rnacentral:tRNA from 1 species